ensembl:snoRNA SNORD94 small nucleolar RNA SNORD94
GAGACGGUGAUGAUUGGCGCAGGGGUACGGACCUCAGCUGAUGAUGGGAGCUGAGUGCUGACGCAUGUUCUCAGCUCGAGCAGCAUGUGGUUGUUUGGCUGGACGGCAUCAGCGCGACACAAUGCCAAGAUCUGAGUCUC